rnacentral:tRNA from 1 species
GAGGUGGCAGAAAGUGCGGUAGGUUGUAGCCCUAAUAACAUGGUUAAGGCCAUUCUUGGUAUAC